rnacentral:rRNA from 14 species
AGCAGCCACCCUUUAAAGAAAGCGUAAUAGCUCACUAGUCGAGUCGGCCUGCGCGGAAGAUGUAACGGGGCUCAAACCAUACACCGAAGCUACGGGUAUCACCUUCGGGUGAUGCGGUAGAGGAGCGUUCUGUAAGCCUGUGAAGGUGAGUUGAGAAGCUUGCUGGAGGUAUCAGAAGUGCGAAUGCU